GAUAUGAAUCAGAUGCUGCAUGUAGCCUACAGAGUAGCUAGACAGAAAUAACAACAGUGAAAUCACAAUAAAGAGAACCGAAAUGACAAUAUUAGGAACAGGAAAAAAGUCAGCAAACAACAUAUGAAGAGAUUUACUCUGACAUUUCCAGUGAACAUCACUCCUGCAGAAUAAAGAGACAUUUGUUGUCUCUUUGACUUGAUAACUUGUUGAUUAGGAGCUCAGGUAGAUGAAAAGAGCGCAGACAGAACUUUCAUGGUUACCUGGAUGACACAUUGAGCCCAUGGCUGACGAAGUGUUGAGUGACAGCUGGCGGGCCCUCGGGGAAGCACCUGCCUGUCAAAAUACAUUGUAAACCCACCGUUCUUUGUGUUGAGUAGGUCACCUCCGAAUAUUCAUCACCCCCUUGUGUCAUCAACACAGAUGCAAUUUGUGGCAAAACAUCUCGCUCUUCACUCCACGGCCCCGUGUAUCGCCAGCCCGGACCAGCUUGGCCAUCAGACAUCCACAAUGGCAUAAUUAUGGAGUAUUAAACCAUCACAAUGACACAUCAGUCAGAGAAGAUAUGCAAAAUGCCAGCGAGGCCUACUUGGUUUAUCCUCACUCUUGUCAGAAUGGUGUGAAAAAUGGAGGAUUGUUUGCUGCUGGAUCAUAAUUACGACUGGUAUUUAUGACGCCCAUAAAGCCUUCAGUCAAGAGGAUGCCGCAUUUGAAGGUGACUCUGGGAUGCGUCACGUUAGACGGCGGACACAGUGAAACAAGACUUUCAGACAAGCUGUCUCCUCUCACCAAGCCUUUUAAAUCAUCAUCACUCUGGCCAUCUGUAUGAUCGUUCACAUGAUAUAUCACCUGUUAGAUGCUGCAGCAUACGUGCCACCACCAGCAGACAGUGACAAUGAGUCUGGCAGCGAGCCGCAUGUCGUUUGAUGCUUCUGUUUCCUGUUAUUAAGCCAUCGCCUCCAUGCUGUUGUGUUAAGCGUCACUUAAACUGCCAGUCAGGUUCAAGGGAUGUUUCUCCAGGUUUUUUUUUUUUUUUUUUUUUGUCCUACUUGUUGUUUCAGUGAUGUGGCCAGUUGAAUUUUUCAUGGCUUCAAUCAGCUUGAAGCAGCUUGUUAGACGGCAGAUUCUGACAGUGCUUUGAUUCUACUGUCUGUCCAAAUGUCGUUCGGCCUAAGCUCAGCUGUCUACCUUUAUACAGGCCGACUGGCUCCCAGUCAUAUUUAAGUGCAAGGAAAAAUACAACAUGGGCCUUAUUUGUGUUGUUAUGACGUCUAUUUGCAUUGUACCAGUUGUGAUAGAUUAAUGGUUGCUGUAUAUAUAUAUAUAUAUA